rnacentral:lncRNA from 1 species
CUCCCUUUUCAUUUUCUCCCAUGUAACGAUCUUACUCUUCCCCUCACGUUCUCUUUGUUUCUUCAGAUUUUCCCACCAAAAAGAUGCAUUCCAUCUGAGUUUGAGUGCCACAAGUUUGAUCUUCGUUUGUUCUGGUGGUUCAUGAAAAUCGAAAAUUCUUUCUACUAUAUUAAGCCAAUCGAUAAAGUCAUCAACAUUUAUUUUAC